CCUACGGGAGGCAGCAGUGAGGAAUAUUGGUCAAUGGGCGCGAGCCUGAACCAGCCAAGUAGCGUGAAGGAUGACUGCCCUACGGGUUGUAAACUUCUUUUAUAAAGAAAUAAAGUGAGGCACGUUUGCCUUUUUGUAUGUACUUUAUAAAUAAGUAUCGUCUAACUCCGAACCAGCAGCCUCGUUACUACGGCGGAUCCGAGCGUUAUCCAGAUUUCUUGGGUUUAAAGGGAACGUAGAUGGGUUGUUAAGUCAGUUGUGAAAGUUUGCGGCGAAACAGUAAAAUUGCAAUUGAUACUGGCAGCCUGGAGUACAGUUGAGGUAGGCGGAAUGAGUGGUGUAGCGGUGAAAUGCUUAGAUAUCACGAAGAACUCCGAUUGCGAAGGCAGCUUACUAAACUGCCACUGACAUUGAUGCUCGAAAGUGUGGGUAUCAAACAGGAUUAGAUACCCGGGUAGUC
rnacentral:rRNA from 1 species